rnacentral:tRNA from 1 species
ACACUGGUGGUUCAGUGGUAGAAUCCUCACUUUCCAUGUGGGAGACCCAGUUUCAAUUCCUGGCCACUGCA